GUGGAUGCCAGGGUAGGUGAAAAAGAAACGAAACCGAACACAAUAGAGGAUUCAAAGCCGGUCGAAAUUGGCCGAUGCGGUUGUUGCUGUCGUCAUAACUUGUGGGGAUGCGGUUUGCACUGUUGUGACGGUAGAGGACCUGGCACUGGCUGUCCAAACCGGCCACCUAAUGCAGCCACCACUACAGGUGUCGGAGGCGGUAUUCCGGGUGUUGGAGGAGGCAGUCCGAGUGUAGGAGUAGGUGAAAAAGAAACGAAACCAAACCCAGUAGAGGAUUCAAAGCCGGUCGACAUUGGCCGAUGCGGGUGUUGCUGUCGUCAUAAUUUGUGGGGAUGCGGUUUGCACUGUUGUGACGGUAGAGGACCUGGCACUGGCUGUAAUGUAGCCAGGACUACAGGUGUUGGCGGCAUUCCAGAUCUUGGGGUCGGCAUUCCGGGUGUUGGAGGCGGCAUUCCAGGUGUCGGAGGAGGCAUUCCGGGUGUCGGAGGAGGCGGCAUUCCGGGUGUCGGAGGA
rnacentral:lncRNA from 1 species